rnacentral:rRNA from 1 species
UACGUAGGUGGCAAGCGUUGUCCGGAUUUACUGGGCGUAAAGAGCGCGCAGGCGGUCGGAUAAGUCGAAUGUGAAAGCCCCCGGCUCAACUGGGGAGGGUCAUUCGAUACUGUUCGACUCGAAGGCAGGAGAGGGAAGUGGAAUUCCCGGUGUAGUGGUGAAAUGCGUAGAUAUUGGGAAGAACACCGGUGGCGAAGGCGGCGACCUGGUCCGAUACUGACGCUGAGGCGCGAAAGCGUGGGGAGCAAACAGG